AAGCCCGGAGGCUGAGUGUUCUUCUAACAGCUAUCUCAUAGCGGUUGGUUAGUUGGAGAGUUAUCUAUCCACUGGGAGGCUAAUUGAUUUGCCUACAUCAUACAACAUUUAUGUGUCAGACACACCAAAGUCUUAAAGAAAAGCCCCUCACCACGGGACAUUACUUCUGGCAAGGCUACCUCCAAUGAUGGAUCUCCUAGAAUUGUGAGGAAGCUCUAAGUUCAGGUGGACAAAGACAGCUGGGUUGCUUUAUGAUGUCAGAUUCUCCUUUGAUGCUCUGAAGAAUGUGGACUGAAGAAUUAAAGGUUCUGUCCUAUUCUAGGUGUUUGAAGAUGCCAGUCUAGUUUUCUCUUCAUCCCAGGACCCAGUCUUCUCAUAAGAAAGAGUGUAUUAUUUUUCUGAACAGACUUUAUUUUACUAUUUUCUUAUUAAUUUUUAUUUUGGAUCACGGUCCUUAGACCUCCCCUCACCAGAAUCAUGAGCAAAAUUGCCCUGACUGAGAAUGAGCUUUCUAGCUUUUGAAAUAUGUUUGCUGUUCUUCUAGACAUUCUACUGGUAAGAUAUACUGUGGAAAUUCUUCUGUAGUGGAAUGGGGAAAAAUCAAAAGAUAUUUUCCAAAGAAGCUCCUCGCCCAGGCCUUUGUUACAAGGCCAAGGUGGUAUGGUUACCAUGUCCACCACACCACGUUUCACCCCUGUUGGAACAAGACUCCUAUGUGAAGGCAGAGCAGGCAUCCCUCAAGCAUCAGGAGAGAACCAUCCAACCGGUGCCCCAUCCCCGCCCUCGGACCGAGCCAGUGCCCUCGCCACAUUUCAAACACCCCAUGAUAGCCGUCCGGCCACCCUGUCCUCCUCCCAGCACGGUCACAAUACCGCUGCCCCAUCUCCACCACCAAAGUACAGUGAAUAAGGCACCCGCUAGUCCCAAGCACCAAGUGGUCACCUCGGCCCUGCCUGUGAGCAGGCCUGACGUCCCCUCUGCCAAGCCUGCCGUGACUUUAGCAUUCAGCAAACAGUGCCCGCCGCUCCGCCCUAUACAUCAGCCUGUGAUUCCACUGGAUGCAAACCAACACACAGAAGCUGCUCCUAACCCUGACCACUUCCCCAAGAUUAUCCCAAGCUCUGUCCCCCUGGCUGAGGAUCCGAGUCAUCUCAAACAUCUGUCGGCGCUGCCAUCAUCUGCUGAGGUGCCACCACGAGAGGUCCACAGGACCAUGUUCAUAGCGGUUCCCCAAGCGGGCCCUAACCACCCCAUCAGGGUCACGAGUGUGCCCGUGAAUCCCGGCCCACAGCCUUUGCCCAAGCCCAGGCGUCGCAUCAGGGCCACAAACGCGCUCUUAGGGUUUUUAAAACUAGAACCUAUGCUUCAUUCUGCUAGCUCAAUAUCCCUUGGUCCAAACCACUGGUCCAGAGAGACAACUGCAAAACCCUCGGGUCUGGAUAAUUGGACCCAACCAAAAAGAUCUUCAUCUUCACAUCCCAACCUCCUUUGCCCUUGGAAGACAGUAUCACUGCUGUACUGCAAUGAGUCCCCCCAAAAAUCAAUGGGGGAGCCGUUAUCACAUCUGAAUCAGAAAACCAGGGCUACCACUGCACCUGCUCCUGUUCAGCUACAGCAGGCUGGGGACAUGGCUGGCCCUAUGGCCCAUGGAUUACUUCAAAUGGAAAAAAAGCCCUGGGAAACAAGUUCAGUGAGAGCCAGCCAGGAUCCAGGGCUGAGACAACUUCCAAUUGACUUACAUUUCCAGGGCAAAACUCUGCAUGUCCCUAACCACCAGGUGGUACCUCCUCCCCAUCCAGUGGGUCCUUUACAACCUAUGGCCCAGGUCCCACUUCAAAUGGAACAAGAUCAUAGGAAGACGAUGCCAUUGAGACCGGAUAACCAGGUUCCCAAUCCCACAGGACAGGAUCACUGGACCAUCCCUCCUUUCCUGGGCAUGGAUGGCCAGAAAACAAUUCUUUUUCUCCCUCAGUACCAGGCCACACCACCUCCCAGCCCUAUCCAUCAGUCGGAGGACAUCCCAGGCUCCAUUGCUUAUACCUUGAAAACGCUGCCACCCAGAAUGCAGCCACAGGCCACAACUAUAACAGGUGCUAGUCAGAAUCUCAGAACAGUACCUUCAAUGGUGUCUUACAAGCACGACAUCAAUCAGCUGGGCGCCGUACCCCAAUUCACAACUUCCCUCAACCCUGACUACCAGGUUGGGAAAGUCAUAAAUCCCAAUGCCCAGCUGAUAUACCAACCAAAUGUAGAAGUAUGGGGAACAAUGACAAAGGGAAUGUAUCACCAGGAUAUGAGUCCCUUUGUGUGGGGUUACGGGGCAAUCCCUCAACCCCAGAACACAAAUAAGACGAUUCCACCUCACUUGGACCACUGGGGCACACCUCUCCAACCUGAAUUUCAGACUAAGACUAUACCUGACCCAAAUGUUCGGUUUACACUUCAAUCAGAACCCAAGCAUCACGGAAGAAGGCAACUAGGAGUAGACCACCAGCCUGCCUUUCUAGCAUGCCGAAAUCAAGGACCAAUUAUGUAUCCCCCAGGUGUAGGUGGCUGGGAAAAAAUUCCACCUGGCCCUAACUAUCAGGAGACGGUGGUCAGCGCUCAUCCUGGGCCUAAGCAACAGCCAGCUAUGGCUAUACCAGAUCCUGCUGCACAAAUCUUGUUUCAGCCUGAACAAGGGCACAGGGGACCAACAAUGCCAAAAAUAAAGAUCCAGACCCCAGAUCUUAAUUUAGUAUCUUCACUGGGCUUAGAUACCCAAAACCCAAAUCUUUGUGUCUCUGAACACCAAGCCAGGCUUGUAGUCAAUAAUCCUCACCAGCCUAAGGAGAUGAUGAAGGAUGCCAAGGUCCAGGUCUCCUUUCAAGAAUUCAAACGAUGUGAAAUACCACCAGUGGGAACCCACCAGCAGACCCCAAAUCCCCCUGAUCACGUCCAUGGGACAACAGUUCCUCUGAACAAUGAUGAGAAGGUAGCGUGUUUUCCUGCCUCUGACCAUUGCAUCCUAUCACCACCUGGCCCUGCCUAUCAGGCUGAGGCUGUUCCAGAGCCUAAUGACCAGGAUGCAUGGCAACAAAAGCUAGAACACAAUGAAACAAUACAGUCAGCAAUGGAGCAGGAAGCCAAGAAUUCCACUGGCAAAGACCAUGGAGCAACACUUGCUCCCUUGAACAAAGAUCAACAAGAAACUAACUGUGAGCUUGAUCACCAGGACACAUCUCGUCUUAAAUCAGACUGUCAAACUGAGGAUACACAAGACCCUAGAGACCAGGAUUCAAUUCAACCAGAACAACACUGGCAAAAAGAACAACCUGGAACAGAUCAGCAGAUCACAAAUCCUCCUGCCCAAGAUUCCACAGAAAAAACUCUGAUUAGGAGCACAGAGAACCAGGAAACAAUUCUCUCAGGCACUGGCCACCCUAGUCCUGACUUUAGGGCUAUAGAUUCAGCAAGCCCUGGCACUAGGGAAUCAGGUAAAACAGAACAGGAAAACAAGGAAAGACCACCACUUGGAAGGGAAUGCAAAGCCACAACUCUUCUAACCCCCGAUUUGGAGGCAACGGUACCUCCCCUGGGCUCUGACGCCCAGGAUAAAACUCUGCUUGACCCUGAAAACCAUGGCUCCCUUGCACCCAGAGCUGAGCCGGAUGUGGAUGCAUCAGGGCCUGUCGCAUCAGAACAAGUUCUCCGGGAAACACUGAAAACAGAUCCACAGGCCACAGGUACAACCAUCUGUGAUCACCAGAUAACACCACCUAUAGUGGGAGCCGACUGUCAGGCCCCCUGUCCUCCCACCACUGGAGCUCACAACCCAAUUCAGAAAGAACUGGAAGAGUGGGAAAGGUCAGAAGAAAUCAGUUCCCAGGAUUCUAUCCUUUUAGAAGUGGGUGUCAUGCAUAUACCUAAAUUAGACUUAGAUCUCCAAGACACAACUCCAUGUCCCCCCGUCUAUGGUCCUGAUGAUCAGGCUACAGAUAGAAUAGAUCCCAUUGCCCCAACAUGGGUUCAGACAGAACAGAAGUCCAGAGAAGUAUCAUCAAUAGCAAUAGAUCAGCAGGCCACGACAGUAACAGGCCAGACUCAGGAGGCAGUCACAUGCCCCCCAGACUUGGAAUCCCAGGACACAGCUCAAUGUGGUCCUAAAUGCCAGAGCCCACUUCCGUGCAGCCUUGACAAGCGGGAGAAGAAUAUAGCCUCUCCCAAUGACUUGUUCUCACUUCAGCCCCCAACCAAUCAAUGCACAGUAGUGUCCCAGGAAACAGACCAGCAGACCACAAUUCUAAUGGACUUGGGAUUCAGGACAUCACCUCCGUUGCUGAUACACCCCCAGGACCCAAUUCUGCUUGAUUCUACCUACCAGACCACACCUUCCUCUGGCCCUGCAGAAGCUUUCUCAGAUCCUGAUCUUCAGAACAUACCUCCACCAGAUCCUGAGUGCUUAGCACAAUGGUCCCCGAGGCAAGAGCGCCAAGUCUCACCCCUAUCCAGUGUUGACCACCAAGUCACCCUUCUGCCCAAUUCAACAAACCAGGCUGAGGCUAUAUUUGAGUCUGUCAAACCCCAGGUCACAAUGUCAACACAGUUAUGUAAUCAGGAUAAAGCUUUAAUAAGCUUCAUUAAACCCAAGACUGUGCUGCCCUCAGGUCCCGGGCUGCUGACUAAACGUCUAAGGGGUCGUGGCCCUCAGGUUGAAAAAUUUGACCCCCAAGUUCAGAUUCACUCAAGACCACAAUACCAGACUCAACCAGUGCUAAACAAAAAGUCUUCUUGUUUAUAUUAUAUCAAGCCAUACACUGUGGAGGGAGGAAUCAUCCCCAACAGAAUAGUUCAGCUCAUCAUCGAUUCUAUCCCUCAGGAAAAAAUAAAAAAUGAUGUCUAUAAACAAAUUCUCCUGCGAAAGAGGAGGAAAUUUUCUCCUCAUGGUUCUAAUGGAUACAGUUCAUCUUACUAUCCUAUCUGUUUGCUUUGUGCCUCCUGGAUUCCAAAUGGCUGUCCCCAUGAGGGAAUGAAAUACCCAUUUGAAGCACAGUUACUGGCCAUACCUACGCCUAUGCCUGGUUUUGAAGAACUCGGGGUGAGAUUUGUGCUCCAAGUGCCCCAGACAACAGAAAGCUCCCCUCUCGAGUUUCCUUAUUCCCGGCAUGGUCUGCAAAGGCACCCUCAUGGCCCACAAAUCUUUUCAACAUCAUCCUACUCUGAUCCUGGGCUCUCUAGAUCUUCCAGACCAAAGUGGCUACACUUCAUUCUUGACAAGGCUCAUCAGCAAGAGGGGAGAAACCAAGAAGCAGAAUUCAUAGGAGAAAUGCCCUUGAAGAGGCACAGCCUCAGAGAAGAGGACACUGGGGAUGGGAGGACAUUUUUUAAAUCUCUGUUGGAAAGAUUUCAGUGGAGGCUGAGAGAUUAAAUUACUAUAUAUUCUAUUUGGAAAGAAUUUAUAUGUUUGAAAUAUGUCUUGAUUUCAUAUCUUGCACAUGUAAUUUUCU
ensembl:lncRNA